UUUUGAAGGACAGUGGAGUUGGAAGUCAGAUUGUUACCCAUCACCAUCCUGACAAUAAACAGGAAGUGGACUCUAAUGAUGAUGACUUCAGCCCUAUCUGGCCCUGACAGCUGGCUUGUUUGUUUCUCCUGGUUCAUGAUACCUGAACAUCGUCACUGCUUUACAGGAGGUGGAGGUCGGAGCAGGCCGUGCAUGAAUGAGGACGGCGGUGGUUGAGGGACAACACAGUCCGAUGGUGGUGGCUGGGCAUCAGGGAAAUGUAGAAAUGAAACCAAGAAACCAGUUGCAUCUUGCAACCAACUUUAAUCCAGCAGAGAUCUUUAAAACCAAGUGUCUGUCCCAGACCAACAGCAACACUUGACAUAUUUGCUGUUAGACAUGUACCUACUCAUGUGGGAACUUUUUGUUCAUCUAAUCCCAGCACAUUCAUACAUCCCGAUGUUAAAUCCUUCGUUCGGGAUCCUUUUAGCAACUGUUCAUUUGAUACCACUUACUCUAAUAAAUAUUUGCGUACAUUCA